GGGGGUGUAACUCAGCUGGCCAGAGUAGCGGACUCUUAAUCCGAAAGUCCUGGGUUCGAAUCCCAGCACCCCCACCA
rnacentral:tRNA from 1 species